CGAGCGUGCUUCGCACAUGACGGGUGGAAGACUCUCAUCGGGAAUCUUCUAUUCAUCUGCAAACCCCGAUACUCCAGUUAGAAAUCGGAGACCUAGGGGCUGCUAGAAGCCUGAUACCCACUCCCCUCCAUGACCCUCCAUCAUCGAGCAUAGCCCCACUUUCUCCUUCUUUUCUUCCUUCGAGUUCGUCGUUUCCUAAUAUUGUGCCCGUCGAAAACCGGGGUCGCAAUGCUCACGAAAGCCAAGGUAAGAUUCCGAUCUCCUCCCUUAUCCUUCUUGUCAUCUUCCCUUGUGUUGGUGCUUGUUGCCGAUUGAGAAAUCUGCCGAUUUUCUGAUUGUGUCUACCACCGGUAUUCGUCGCCGAAAGCCUCGGCCUCUCCUUUACAUCAUCGGCCAAUGCCAGGAGCCCCAUCCAUCGGCAAAUGAGUUGGAACAUGAAAGCCACCUAGUAAAAAAUGUCCCCUGUUUAACCCCCUCUUUCCUUUUCUGUGCCGGUCGCCAUCGCCAACCGCUGAUUGCAGGACCUCCGAUUGCACCAUCGUCCCCCUCUAUUGCUGGCCCUCCGGUACACUCUUCCUUCUAUUUUCGCGUCUCUUCCCCGAGUCCCUAAUCUCUCUCCGUCUCGAGCUCCAGUGUCUUCUCCCAUGGCGGCGGCCGCAACGGCGGCCCCUUUGGGUUGGCAACCGCAGGGCCAAGGGGUCGACGACGAGAACCUAGUCUUUGAGACGAGCCCCGGGUGGAGGCCAUCACGAGCUUCGACCAGAUGGGGAUCCACGACGACCUCCUCCGGGGGAUCUACGCCUACGGCUUCGAGAAACCCUCCGCCAUUCAGCAGUGGGCUGUCAUUCCUAUCAUCCACGGCCGCGACGUCAUCGCCCAGGGCACAGUUCGCAUAGACGUGCUAUGCGGAAACCGUCCGCAUAGCAGGUCGAUGCGGAACGUGUCCGCAUGGACUUGCUAUGCGGAACGUUCCCGCAUGGAAUGUCUAUGGGGGACCGUUCCCGCAUGGAAUGUCUAUGCGGCUUUGUUUCGCAUAGACAUUCUAUGCGGACUGUUACGAUAAACUUUAUGCGGACAGUUGCCACAUAAAUAUUGUAUGCGGACUUUCUGAUAGCCUAGUUAUGCGGACUGUAUCCGCAUAAUAACUAUGUAGAACCAGCGUGCUGUUUCCGCAUAGGAUCUUUAUGCGGUUUGUCCCGCCUCCAUGGGGUCUACUAGUCGCCGCUCGAUCAAGAUCAGAUGGCUUACGUUUAGGAUAGGCCCCAAGGUGUGCAAGAUUGCUUCUCCUCGCCCCCGCGGGCACCUCCACCGCUCCGCCGAGCCCUUCAUUGACCACUCCACCGCUCCGCCGAGCCCCAAGGACGCCUCGACACCUCUCUCCGCCGUCGAUCUCGACCCAUGGCACACUCUCCCUCCGAAGGUAAAGUUAGGCUACCGUUCAGGAUUUUCGGAGGGGGUACUACACGGCAUUGGACCCGAGGUUGAGGAGAAGAACACGAAGGAGAAGCGAAGCAGGACGAAGACGAGAAGGAGCACAAGGGGAUUGCAUGAUUAACUUAAUUACUUUAGUUGAAAUUAAAAAUAAUCAAAAGAAAUUGAACAUAUUUUAUUUCGAAGAUUGCCUGGUUGCCAACAUCCAGUACAAAUGCUCUCAACUCUCUAUCUUAUUUUUUUUGUUCAUAUAUAAUAUUUAGCAGCCAUAUUAUCUUAAAAUUUCGAGAGGAGAGGAGAGGAAUGGCAUCUAAGGACACUUGAGCUGGCCUUUAGGAUUCCUCAUGUUGGCGUAGCAAGGGCACAUGGCACGAGUUUCCGCAGAAGUGCCAGGAGGGACGCAGCUGCACUUGCCGCAGCAAACCCCACACAUCUUCUUGCACAUCUUUUGCUUCCAAGACUUGCUGCACCGCACCGCACACGCUUCUCCACAGUCUGCAAAACAAGAAACAAGCGCUUUCAGCCCUGCUUUAUGUUUGGAAUUCCAAUCAAUCUUGCCAUGGGCUAUAUCUAAGUUAAAAGAUUAAGGAGUGGGGUAGUACGUACUUAUUGUAGGCUUAGGCGCCUGAAGGAGAGAUCUCCCAUUGGUCGUCAUCACCUGCACACAAAUCAUCAAAGGUUAGCAUGAUGAUACUACAUUAUAUAAAUUAAAGCAUCCAACUUGCAAGGUUGUUUUGAAGGCUGGUAGAGAAAAUAUUGAAGGGAACCCAACAAGAGCUCGCUACUGGAUAGACUUAUGGAUCGAAGUCAUUUUACAAGCAAGGUGAACUAAAAAGGACAAAUAUAAACUUGGAGUGAACUAUUAUUAGAUAUUUUAUUUGUUGAUGAUUCCAUAGAUGUACUUAUGCUCGUUUGGUUUAAUUCAUCUGAUUUAUCCAAGAAAAAAAAAACGGAGUGAACAAGAAGUCUUUUAUUUGCUAGUUCACCUAAAAGAUAGCUUCAUCUCUUAUUAUAAGAGAGAAAAAAAGACCCCUCUACUACUUAGGAUGAGUUACAUUAUUUCCAGCCGGAUUUCCUGUCCUUUGAACUCAUUUUUAGAGGUCUGAAGCAUUGCUCUGAAGAAUGAAUGAAUAAAUAAAUAAAGAUAGAUGCAAACAUUUAUGCAUAAAGAAACACAAGGCUUUGCUACACAUUGCACGACCUUACCAAAUCAUGAUCAAGUGUGGGGCGAGAAUCGACAAGAUGAACUGAAAGGAUGAAAAGGAGCAGAAGAAAUGGCAGAAAAGAAUUGGAGAGCGCCAUGAAAGGCAAUGGCUGGUAAGUAAAAGAUGCAAGAGGCACUCCGAUUGAGCUCUUAAAAUGAUGGCAAAGGCUGAGAGAGACCGCUUCAAUUUAUAGGGAGGAAGCCGAGCAUUCCAGAGGAGCAGGUAAACACAGAGCGUGGGAUGAUAACAUCAUGUCAUGGGCGGGCACAGAGCACAGCUAAGACUCCAGCUGUAUUACAUCCUACUCUCUUUUGCUCGGCACCUUGCAUCCGAGCCAGCUGUUAUCACCACCAGGUAAGAAUAAGCUUCGACUUUCUCUAUUUUAGCUCCUGUUUUGUGCCAAUUGGAUUUGGAGAUGGGAUUUCAAGGUGAGCGGGAGGAGUUGAACUCACUUCACGCGUAUAUGUUUAAAAGGACGCGCUUCAUGUGGCAGACCGAUUUCAAUUUCCGAGGCAUUUUGGAGGGCUCAGGGAGCUUCCUGCCAACCUCUCCAUCAAACCCCAAUUGCCUCCGGCGAGUUGUUUGACUCCAGUGGAGUUUGUUAAUUAGAUUUUGCCCCAGAUUGGACUUUCUACUGAAAGAUUCGAAUGCGGAAAAAAAAAAAGUCAGUCAUAAUUCUUACUAGUGGCGCGGGUCAUGGAGGCUCAUUCGAUUUAAGGCAUCCCACAUAUUUAGUGGGUUGAAUGCAUAUGAAUCCAGACCUCUCAUACGAAGAUAAGAAGCUUUACCAACUCAACCAGUAUUAUUAUUACAGUUAAUUUGAAAGAGUAUGAGCUGUAAACUUCUUUGUAGUACAACUUGACCUAGCUGGCCUUUAGAUGCCUAAUGCUAUGAGUGCGCUCAAAUAUUAAUCAUUGCCCAUCAUUUUGAAAGUUCAAGCUAUAGCAAAUGUAGUAGUGCGAUCUUAUUCCUUUUGACAAACCUCAUCAAUAUCAUCAUUAGCGAGCCUUUCACUUUCAUCAAAUACAAACGCAAAACGCUUGGUUCAUUGGACGGUUUUUUGGAAUUACUUAACUUAGGUCAUAUUUGUAUUUUGUGGACCAUAGCAAGUGACACUCCUUUAAACAGAUGCUCAAGCAAAAGAAAUAAAAAAAAAAUCCGACACUUUUUAAUGCAUAUACACACGUUUAUAUUAUCAAUGCUUUUUAAAACGUCGCAAAAACGUCGGCAAUUUGGAUAGCGAAAUUUCAUUUAGUGACGCUUUGUAGAAGUGUCAGCAAUUACCGAUGCUUUUAAAUGUUAGAAACUGUCGACGCUAAUUUUUAGAUAAGUUGCUGAUAUAAAGUUUGAGAGUUAUUCGACAUAUUUCUUAGUAUUUUGAUUUCAUAAUCUUAGCAGAUGGCUUGCCCUCAAAUAUUUCUUCUGCCUUGCAUGCAGAACAAUGGGCUAAAAUCCACUGAGGUCACCAAGAUAUAAAAAUAACAUAAAUGUCUUCGACAUUUAUAUUCAAUGCUAGAUAAAGCAGAGAUCUGGCCGCCUUCGCAGCAUGACCUAGUCUCUUUUCGCACCCCCUCAAGCUUCAGAACAUCAAAGAUGGUUUUCGACUUAUAUACGAAGAGAGAGGUCUGGCAACAAAGGGGACUGAAUUCUAGGUACGUAGAGACUUCGUUACUGUGUGCGGACAAGACUGAUCUCCCUGUGGCUGUGAGAUGCGUGCCAGAGAUAUUGAUCAUGCACUUAAUCAAAAAGCCAUGCACGCUGUAAAGGAAGGUGCUGGGUUGUGCGUCCAUCCCAAGCGCGUGAUAUUUUCUCAGCUGAGUCCAUCUAGUCCCGCAAAGGUUCAACUGGCACGUGAGAAGCCCCAUGAGUCAAAGGCAAGGAAUUCCAAGUCAAGCUUCUAGCAACAAAUAGUCUUAUUUUAUAGAUUUCAACAUAUUAAAGUUUAAUUUAAUAAAUCAGUAAGGUAGCGUGUCGGUUCGGUUCAAGCCGGUGUGACAUAUGGUUUGAUCUGAUAAAGCAUAGGGUAGUGUAAUUUGGCACGGUCUGACUGGGUUUGAG
rnacentral:lncRNA from 1 species